GUGACAAAUACAUUUGAUUUGAUUUGAUUUUUUUGGUCGGGGUGGUGUCUGUCGGCGGGCUGAAGGUGGACCGGUGGGGGGUUGGUUCCGACGGUUGGCGGUGGCGACUUUGGACGCCUGCUGGGCCCUCCUCGUGGAUUUCCCCAGCUACGUUCGCGCGGGUUGCCUCGGCCGGCACCUAGCAGUUGACUUAGAACUGGUGCGGACCAGGGGAAUCUGACUGUUUAAUUAAAACAAAGCAUCGCGAAGGCGCAAGGUGGGUGUUGAUGCGAUAUGAUUUCUGCCCAGUGUUCUGAAUGUCAAAGUGAAGAAAUAUGGGGCUUUCGGUCAAGCAUGAAAAUGUGAGGGUGGUUACACCAGACUCAAUGAUUUGCUGCGGGGCUCUUGUAAACGAAUCCUGACCUUGACAGGAAGCCAAUCUGAGAGUGAUGGCUUGAACACAUCCCUGGCUUUGGCUGGGAGGAGUUAAGUCCUGGGACACGGCUGAUGAAAGUGUGCUAUUGGCAUCAGUCUGAUCACAGAGCGGCUGUGGUGAAGCGUUUAAACACGCGUAUCCCAUAUACUUAGCUAACUCUAAACCGCAAAGGUUUGAAUCGAACGCUGGCAUCGGCUGGAUCCACUAACAGUGGAGCACUAAAUCAGGUCCACCUGGGUGCUGGACUCUACACAUUCUAUGUGGGAGCUGUCCUCCACGCUCCUUGGAGCAUGUAGUGGAGAUGGCAUGUGCCUUACCAUUAGCUGACACUACCAGGCCUCAGGCUUGCCUGAAUGUGGGACACCACACAUUGUAGGUGAGGAGGUCUCCUCUACACUCACUAGACUCGAGGCGGACACUAAACCCAUUGGCCCCGCAGUGAUAGGGCAUUGCAUGGAUCUGGCUCAUGGCCUACAAAGUGGGGGAGAGGUAUCUCCAGUUUGUCUGGGGAGGGAGGCCUACAUCUGAUGUGGGUUGUACCAUCCACGCCCAUUUAUUUUCUGCGGAACCAUGAAACGGACGGAAGAAGCACAGGUUCCCACUGGGCAUAGAUCCCUGAAUGUCAACUUGAUGAAAUUCAAAAGGAGCGUACCCACCUGUAGUAAUCCUGCUCAGUACGAGAGGAACCGCAGGUUCAGACAUUUGGUGUAUGUGCUUGGCUGAGGAGCCAAUGGUGCGAAGCUACCAUCUGUGGGAUUAUGACUGAACGACCUGAUUCUGGGUCAGGGUUUCGUGCGUAGCAGAGCAGCUCACUCGCUGCGAUCUAUUAAAAGUCAGCCCUCGAUCCAAGUUUUCUUGGGGACAGAAGGUGUCUUCCUCCACCAUCCUCCAUCUUUACUUACCAGGGUUACCAGGUGCACGCAGAAGGGCCAGGUGCCAGAGGCCAGACACAGGGUGUGAGAGAGCCCAGGCAGGCGGGUAGAAGGUGUAAGACACUCUGGAUAGGUAGGGGGCAAGGUGGUGGUCAUCCAUCCCCCCGGGCUCAUCCUCU
rnacentral:ncRNA from 1 species